AGAGUUUGAUCCUGGCUCAGAACGAACGCUGCGGCGUGCCUAACACAUGCAGACGAGCGAGAAAGGGCUUCGGCCCGAGUACAGCGGCGAACGGGUGCGUUAACACGGGGAUAAUCUACCUCCGGGCUCGGGAUAACCUUCCGAAAGGAGGGCUAAUACCGAAUGAGCUCACGGGGACUGCGGUUCUCUGUGGGAAAAGGUGGCCUCUGCUUGCAAGCUAUCACCCGGAGAUGAGUCCGCGGCCCAUUAGCUAGUUGGUGAGGUAAUGGCUCACCAAGGCGACGACGGGUAGCUGGUCUGAGAGGACGAUCAGCCACACUGGGACUGAGACACGGCCCAGACUCCUACGGGAGGCAGCAGUGGGGAAUCUUGCGCAAUGGGCGAAAGCCUGACGCAGCAACGCCGCGUGAGCGAUGAAGGUCUUUGGAUCGUAAAGCUCUUUCGGCAGGGAAGAAACGCCCGGUGGCGAAUACCCAUCGGGUUUGACGGUACCUGCAGAAGAAGCACCGGCUAACUCUGU
rnacentral:rRNA from 1 species